AUACCAUGAUGGGGACAUUUUCUCAAUAGCUCUUUGAAUCUUUCCCAAGAGUCAUACAAAGAUUCACCAUCCAGUUGAUAAAGAUUAUUAAUCUUCCCUCUUAAUUU